rnacentral:misc_RNA from 1 species
GUGAUAUCCGGCGGGGAGGGGAUCUAGUCUUGUUCGUGACAUACAGCGGGAAGACGCCAGAGUUGCUGAACAUCCUGCCGCACAUUCCGCAGGAGGUGCGGAUGCUGGCAAUCACCUCGCAUCUCGAUGCGAGCGCGUGCGCGGUGUUGGCGGACAGAGAGGGGGGGAUACUGCUUCCGGCACCGAUUCCUGAGAAGGAGGAAGAAAG